rnacentral:rRNA from 1 species
CCUACGGGACGCAGCAGUGGGGAAUAUUGCACAAUGGGCGCAAGCCUGAUGCAGCCAUGCCACGUGUAUGAAGAAGGCCCUCGGGUUGUAAAGUACUUUCAGCGGGGAGGAAGGUGUUGUGGUUAAUAACCACAGCAAUUGACGUUACCCGCAGAAGAAGCACCGGCUAACUCCGUGCCAGCAGCCGCGGUAAUACGGAGGGUGCAAGCGUUAAUCGGAAUUACUGGGCGUAAAGCGCACGCAGGCGGUCUGUCAAGUCGGAUGUGGAGUCCCCGGGCUCAACCUGGGAACUGCAUUCGAAACUGGCAGGCUAGAGUCUUGUAGAGGGGGGUAGAAUUCCAGGUGUAGCGGUGAAAUGCGUAGAGAUCAGGAGGAAUACCGGUGGCGAAGGCGGCCCCCUGGACAAAGACUGACGCUCAGGUGCGAAAGCGUGGGGAGCAAACAGGAUUAGAUACCCGCGUAGUC